rnacentral:ncRNA from 1 species
GAAUGAUUGGGUGUAAAGCGUGUGUAGGUGGCUUUUCAAGUCCCUCGUCAAAUCUCAGGGCUCAACCCUGGACAGGCGGUGGAAACUACCAAGCUGGA